GUAGCCGCUCCUUACGGUUAUUUCCUUCGCUAUUCUCACGAUAAUAAUUCAGUUCAUACCUUUUUGUUUUUCCUCUUUUGUCCUUCGAAGCUUCGCGGCCCUAUCUCUUGUUCUCUCAUCCUCUGAAUCAAUCAUCAUCUAUCGUUAAUCAUCAAUCAUCAUUUCUUCUUUCAAUCACUCUAAUUCUCUUCUUUGAUUGUCACUUCUAAUAGGGUUUCUAAUUGUUGAAUUUCGAUUUCUAGGGUUUUCUUUCUCUAUAUCAAUCAAACCCCAAGCUUUUUGAGUAAGUUCAAUUCAUUGCUCGGUGACUGGCUUUCAAGCGUCAGAGACUCCGAACUCGCUUCAAAAGGUUAUUAUUUGCUGAAUCUCUCAUUUAUUCUGUGUUUUGUUUUUCGUUACUCUCGAUUUGUUUUCUCAGAUCUUUGUGGCUGUAAGUUGGUGAAAUUUUUGAUUUUAAGGUUGUUGUGUUAGUGUGUUCAAUUUGCUUAUAUUCAACAAAAAAAGAAACAAUAAGAAAGAAAAAAUUGUUUUGUAUUGAAUAGAUAAUAUUCGAAAUUAGGGUUUUCAGCAUUAGGGUUAUAAUUGAGCUUGACUUUUUAAGUCACGGGAUAUCUUUCCCUACAUGGCAGCGGGAAGGCAUGAGGGAUAUAACGAAAUUGAAUUUAAAGACCGUGCUGUGGAUUAUGAUACGUCUAGGCGUGAUAUAGCUUAUAUGAAUGGUGAGCAUGAUACUAUAAGGAACGGAAAUCAGAUUAGGGAUUGGAAUAUGGUAAAAGGUAGAGAAAGAACUAGGGUUAGACAGAGAGAUAUUAAAGAAAGGGAGCUUGCUAAUGGGGAUUAUCACUCGUUUUCUGGUAAAUGUGAAUCAGGUGGAAGUGAGGGUGGGGGUGCAGGGGGAGGAGGGCCCAGGAGAUGUGGGUUUGCAGCCAGGGUUACAGACCGUGAGCCUGGGGAAUUGUCGAGUGAGGAUGGUUCCGAGGGUCCUAUUGAGUCGGAAUCACGGUUGGGUAAGAAUUGUGGACUGUCAGAAAUGGAGAAUGGUGUUCACUUUACAUCUGAGGUUACUAAGAAAAGAAAGUUCACUCCUAUUGUAUGGGAUAGAGACGACAAGGGAGUCAAAGAUGCGUCGAAAACUAAAGCUGUGUUGGUUAAUACAUCGUUACCUCCUCAGCCAAUCAAGAAACUUAACCAGAAGUCACCUAUAUUAGUUUCUGCAGAUAAUGAGGGGGUAUCUUCUAAUAAAAGUGAUAAGCCCAGAGAAGAGUUGGAAAUUUCUCCUGAUGCAUCUCCUAUGAAUCAGGAUCAAUUAGAUGAUGUUGUCUCUGGGCCGGCUGAGGAACAGCAUCUUUCACCAUCUCAGGGACGACUAUGGGGGAGUGACAAGGAGGCUGAGCAGAUAGAAGAUGAGUAUUACAUUCCCACCAGACAUAUAUCUGCAUCAAGGUGGGCAGGUGAUGCUAACUCUCCUGCUGAUGAGGGUGAAAUAUCUGAUGAUGAGAUUAUCCGGAAAAGGAGGAAGAAGAUACCAUCUUCUGACUUUUUAGAUUCUAGGAGGAGCAAGAAGUCAUCAAGUCCAGAUGCUGGAGAUGGCACGAGAGAGUUUUCUGAUUUAGCCAAGGGAAGAGUAUCGGAUUCUGAUGGAAGCAUGCGAAGCAGACCUUCCAGUGGAGAUCGUGGUCAUCAAACUGAUCAAGAUCAGGUAGAUCAUAUUGAGGUAAAUGAUAGAUACCGUGACACUGACUCUAGUGGUAGCCCCAAAGAAACUGAUUCAGAAGAUGAAGAUUAUUCACAUGGAUCACCUGAACCUCAAGUUGCUCCCAAGAGAACAGUGAAUAUGCUUCAGGGCUGCAGAAGUGUGGAUGAGUUUGAAAGACUAAAUAAGAUAGAUGAAGGAACUUAUGGUGUAGUUUUUAGAGCUAAAGAUAAAAAAACUGGUGAGAUCGUAGCUUUGAAAAAGGUAAAGAUGGAAAAGGAAAGAGAGGGCUUUCCAUUGACCUCUUUGAGGGAAAUUAACAUUCUUUUAUCACUGCAUCACCCAUCUAUUGUUGACGUUAAGGAAGUAGUAGUUGGAAGCAACCUUGAUAGUAUCUUUAUGGUGAUGGAAUACAUGGAGCAUGAUCUUAAAGGCCUUAUGGAGACGAUGAAGCAGCCAUUUAGUCAAAGUGAAGUUAAAUGCCUCAUGCUCCAGUUAUUAGAUGGUAUUAAGUGUCUUCAUGAUAAUUGGGUUCUUCAUCGUGAUUUAAAGACUUCAAAUUUGCUUAUGAACAACCAGGGUGAGCUGAAGAUUUGUGACUUUGGGUUGGCUCGACAGUAUGGGAGUCCAUUGAAGCCAUAUACUCAUUUGGUUGUUACACUUUGGUACAGAGCUCCAGAACUUCUUUUGGGUGCAAAAGAGUAUUCCACAGCCAUUGAUAUGUGGUCACUUGGUUGCAUUAUGGCUGAGCUGUUGUCAAAGGAGCCGCUUUUUAAUGGGAAAUCGGAAAUUGAUCAGCUUGAUAAGAUAUACAGGAUUCUUGGCACGCCGAAUGAGGCUAUCUGGCCUGGUUUUUCCAAGUUGCCUCAUGUGAGGGCCAAAUAUGUGACGCACCAGUACAAUCAGUUGCGCAAAAAAUUUCCAGCAACAUCCUUUACAGGAUCUCCAGUUCUCUCAGAUGCUGGAUUUGAUCUGUUGAAUAGAUUGCUAACUUAUGAUCCCGAAAAGCGUAUUACGGCUGAUGCUGCACUUAAGCAUGAUUGGUUUCGUGAAGUUCCUCUUCCCAAGUCAAAGGAAUUCAUGCCUACAUUUCCUGCUCAACAUGCACAAGACAGGCGCAUGCGUAGGGUUCGUAAGAGCCCCGAUCCAUUGGAAGAGCAACGCAGGAAGGAGUUGCUACAACCAGAAUUGGGGACUGGGGGUUUGUUUGGAUAGGAGUCUAUGCCUGAGCAAAAUUGAGCUUUAUGCUGUACGAGUUUUGUAAACACCUUCAGAUGGACAUGCAUGAGUUGAGGGUGAUGGGUUCAACACAACUUGCAAAAUUGGCUUGUGAGACUGUCAUUCAUGCUGUUUUUUAGCAGGCAUGCCAGUGGAGGACUAUAUUUUUUUUCUUAUGCAACCAGAUCUGUAGCUGUCAAAUAUAUUCUCCAGCGUUGGUGAUAGCAUUGCAUGUAACAAGGCUUGCUUCAGAAGAGAUGGUUGAUGUAAAGCGGAGGGGAUGUUCUUUGCUUUUCAUUGACAAGUGAAGUACAAAUUAGACAAGAGUAUUAAAGCUAGCGGGGUGAGGAGGUUGAAUUCCCAAUUGUUUGGUUCUUCUCAAAUUUUAUAGUCCGUGCCCCAUAGAGGUACCUUACCACUCUUUAUACUUAAUUUUACUCAAGGAAUAAAUUAUUUAGUAUAUGUUGUAGAUAAUGUUCAAUAAAAUAUUUACUGUCAACACUGUCAACGUCACUGAAGUUUCUGUGGGUUUGGUUAUUGAGGAGGAUGUCUAAGUAAAUAACAGUGAUUAGUGAAGUUAACAAAUCACCUUAUAUGGCGGGAUUUGAUAGGAUGGGAGUUUUGUGAUUUUAAUUUACCUUUUAAAUUUUUUAAAUUUUAUUAUUCUUCUUUUUGUGGUGAUUUACAAAUCACGAUGAUUGAUUAGGAAAUUCUGGUUUUUGAGAUACUAGUAAUUGUUUAGUAGUACCCAAUAUAUUGAGAUUAUGAAUUUGAAUUAUUGUAGUAGUAAAUAUUUAGUUAAGAUUACUACUGAUAGCCUUUUAAUGUUACUGAAGGUGUACUAUUAGUCAUCUAAUAUGAUGUAGCAUGUCCUGAGCUUUCAUUCCUUGGCUCUUAAAACAUCUUAUGGCAAUUGAAUGAAUUAGGGUGGUGUUGUUCCUUGGAUAGGUUGAUUAAAUGCCUGUGCAUGUUGAUGUUGCAACUAUGUUUCUGCUUGAUUAUCCUGAUAGGUUAAAUCUAUUAAUUUUGGGUUCAUAUGCAGUUAAGUUUGUGUGAAUUUAGAAUGGCUUAUGUUUUAUGUUUUAGGCAGUAGUUCCAUGUCUGCGAAGUAUGUUUAUGUUGCUGUUGGUAUAAAGAUAAACUAGUUGGAUGGUUAUUGAUGAAUUAUGACCUAAGAGCUUGAUUUUUCCAAUUAUAAUUCGCUUAUGUAUCUCACGAGGAAUAGCUUAUGUGGGCCGAAGUGAUUUCUUUGAUUAUUGCCAUUUUCUCUCUGAUUGAUAUCACUAAUUAUUUUGCUACUAUUACAAAAACUUUAUGAUGCAUACUGGUUACAGUUAAUUCAGUGCUUUACUUGAUUUUCUGUCCUGCAAUGCGUUAAAGGCCACCUAGGGUGUUUUUCCCAUUGCUUUUAGCUGCUGAUGUUAGUCCCUGUUUUCUGUUUCCCAUCUCUAGAGAUUUAUGCGGAGAGUCAGGGAGAAAAAGAGAAGGGGGAGAAGAGAAGUGGGAGUCGGGCACUGUUGUUUGAUAACUACUGAAAGGAAAAUAAUCAAUAAAGUAUAAUUUGGCGAAAAAUAAGACCUCUCGGCCCUCUCCCCAAUUCCUCCAUACGUGUUUGGUAUUAAGAGAAUAUCUUCGAAAAUCCUUCACCCAUCCACCUCUUUGUUCUCUAUCUUGUACAGUAUUAUGUUAGUCCACUUGGCCGUUACUGCAGUAAUCAAAAAAAUUCGUUGCCAAUCUUGUCAAGGUCUGUGGUUACCUACCCCUCCCAAAUGAACGACCCUACAAAUGGUGCCCAAACUCACCUGCUUAUUUUCUCAGAUUUUUGAUUAACAGCUCUUUGUUGAAGGUUUUCUGUAGGUUGGUUGGUAAUAAGUGGUUUUUGGGUGUCAAUCAAAAUUUUCAAGUUCUAUUGAGUGGUUUUUGGGUGUCGAUCAAUAUUUGCACGUUGUUUGGGGCAGCGAUGGUGAGUGGUUGCUGUGUCGUAAAAGAUUGCACGGAGAAGAGAGAAAAAAAUUAGAAAUUGAAGUUUAUCAUCUUUUUUUCUAAUCUCAAUAAUAUCCUCAGAGGACAGCAGGGUAUGGUAAAAUAAUUGUUGCUUGUAGGUUUAAGAAUUGGAAGCUAGUAAGUUGCGUAAUAAUACGUUGGAAUGUUGGGGUUGGAUGAAGACGAUAAGGGGAUUGAUGAUGCGUAGUGAUGGCCACGGUUCGGGUUGAGCCGGUUUUGGUUCUGAUUCAUAAAGACUAGACACUGAUUUGAUCCGUUGUAUUUUGAUUCUGAUUCUAGACAAUUUCAUAUGGCCAUCAGUGCCACGCGUACCUUUGAUUUUGCUCGCUUUUUAUUUUAGGUGGUUUUGUUAUUUUGUCCCAUUUAUAUAUUAUGGGAGAUCAAUUUUAUUUAAAAACUAAUUCUUACUUUUUUUAUUUUAUUUUCUUCCAU